CUUUCGGCUCAACCCUACACCCCAUUCUUUCCCACCUCCUUUCUCUCCCACCUUUGAUCUGGUGUGUGUUCAUUUCAUGUUCAUCAUGCUUGCUGCAAUUCUUGCUUUCUGGUUUGGUUUUUGGGUGGGAGAAAAAGAAAAGGGAAAUUGUGUGUGUGGGGCUUAAAGUGAGAUGGAUCCAUUAUUUGAUUAGGACCCCUCCAUCUUUCUAAUCUCCAUUCUAUCCUUAUAUAUCCCUAGUUCUUCCCCUCUUUCUCCCUCCCUGGGUUUCUAAUCUGUGUUCUUAGCUAGGGCAGAUACAAUACAGAUGGAUAUAUAUAUACGUAUAUGCGUAUAUAUGCCUGGCUCCCUGUAUGCCAUUUGCAGAGCUCACCGAGACCUCGACGGGCCUCCGUGAAUGGCGUAUGAGGAGCCAAGCAUAUUCCCAAUUCGUGUGUAUGUAUAUAUGUAUAUAUGCUAGCUUCCAUAGUUCUAUGAUAUUCAACCUCAGAUCAUGUUGUAUUACAUGAAAAAGAUUUGUUUUCGUAGAAAUUGAGGUUUCUUAUUAGGUUUUGGUGUCAUUUUAUGCUGCAAAACAAUGAAAACACACUGUACUACUAUACUCCUUUCAUCCCAGCAUAUUAUAUCUUAAUCUAUUGUUCCAGAUCGAUGAACCUGAAGGUUAAAGUGAGAGACUCGGGACUAAUGAGAUGGAUCAGCCCGCUUUGACAGAGUACUGCUCGAGAGCUCGGAAGCCUUGUGAGGCUAGGCGUUGAUCGUGUUGUUGAUGGGUUGAAGGGAGGGUGUGGUUGGUUAGCAGGGAAUAAUGUUGUUGCACAGUCAAUGCUGGUCAAAAAGGGACAAUUCGCUUUCUAGGGAAAAGCAAAAGGACCCCUUCACCCCUGCCUACCUAUUCACUUUGGAGAUCUUCUCCUGAACCCAAUUGGAUUCUCUCUCUCUCACUAUAUGUAUCUAUGUUUCUCUCACUAUAUUCAUUCAUCUCUGUGGUUUUCCUUCCACCACCCACCUGCCCUCUGCCACCCUCUAAUCCUCAGCAAAACUUUAAUCUACAGAACAUUCUCCUGGAUGGCCAGCCCUGUCUGUAAAGUUGGGGAAAUUGCGAGCUGCCAAUUUCAUCUUCUCUCUCUAUUUAAUAAAGUAUCCUCUUCACUUUCUUCCCCCGAAAAAACAAUUAUUAAGUUAACUGUCUAAUCAAUUCAGUUAAAAGUUGUUCAUGACAACCAACUCGACCAGGAAAAAAUUUAAAUUUUCAUCUUUCUCAAGGGUUGAUAGUAUUGAAGCCUUGAUACAUUUGAAUUAUGAGUACAUAGGUGGAGGACCUGGCACAGGAAUAUAAUGUAUGUGUCCACAUGACCACAUUGUCACAAAACAUUGCAUGUUUUUUACGGAGUA